UGUAUGUAAGCGAUGAAUCGCUGAAUUCUACUCCUGAAACCAAUACUGCACCGCGUGUUAACUAACUAGAAUUUAAAUUUAAAAAAAAAAAAAAAAAAUCAACACCAGAAUGGCUUCUGAGUUGUCCAACCUGGGUCGGGACAAUUCCAUAGUCCAUCCUUGCAAGGACUGGACAUUUCUGUCUGGGAGUUCAUGACACUCGAACCACUGCAGCCACAGGGUGAAGACUUGACUCAGAAGCCGUUAGGAGGCCGUUUGGGGGACUGUCACUGCGGUGGGGACAAGACACCUCGCCUCUCUGCCUGAGAGAACUGGGCAUCUUUGAGGUGGCCUACCAAAGUCCUUAUCUCUUUGUACGGGAUUAAAAAAAGUACAGCUGAGUGGAUGGAAAAACCAGGUCUGUUAUCAAUUCUGGAUUCCCAGGAGGUAUUCUGCAACUGGGGCUCCGAGUCUGACUUUAAAGAAUCCUAACUUCCAUCUCCCCAUGUUCCUCCAAGACUACCCUGCCCUGCUGCGAACGUGCCACAGCUGCUUCCUCACCAUGGUCUGGAAAAGCUACCCCCUCUUCCAGGAAGAGCUCCUGUGCCGACUCAGAGAAGCCAUCGUCACUCAACCCCGCUGGUGGGAUAAGAUUCCUCUCCCUUUCCACGCGGCGAAUGUACUUUGCCUAGGCUGCAAAUAUUGACCUUAUCUGUA